GCGCCGGAGCGAGCGGUGACCUUGUCAUGAAUGUCGAGGUGCAACCGUGUUUCGGUCCGAGCGCAAGAUCCUCCUCUCUGUAGGGUGGGAUCAGAACGCGCGGCCCAGCUGUCGUUGCGACUUCUACACAUGACCUCACGGGGGUGGGACGACCCGCUAGACUUAAGCAUAUUAAUCAGCGGAGGAAAAGAAACUAACAAGGAUUCCCCCAGUAACUGCGAGUGAAGAGGGAUUAGCUCAAUGUGUGAAUCGCGUCGGGACUAGCCCCCGUCUCGAGUUGUGCACUAUAGACGUCGGAUCAGCGCUUGAAGGAUCGAGGUGGAUGUCCGAUGAAACUCGGUGCCAUAGAGGGUCAUAGUCCUGUACUUGCCUUGUCAUCCUUUGCGCAUUUGACCGGCGUUCUGCGAGUCGCGUAGUUUUGUAUUGCUGCGCUAAGUGGGAGGUAGAGCCCUUCUAAAGCUAAAUAUGGCGACGUGACCGAUAGCACACAAGUACCGCGAGGGAAAGGUGAAAAGCAACCAUGCAGAAUGGGUUGAAACAGCAGUGAAAGCGCUACUGGGAUAAGGGCUGGGGAUUGCUUGUGUCGCUUGCGCGUGCUUCAGUGCUGUGCUUGCGAACGGCGUGCUUUCGUUCGGAUGGGGAGAACAGGGCCUCGGGAAUUCAGCUGGAUCCGUCCAGUGUUGCAGCCCGGGUGCCA
rnacentral:rRNA from 1 species